rnacentral:rRNA from 1 species
AUUGAACGCUGGCGGCGUGCUUAACACAUGCAAGUCGUGCGGUAACAGGCGUAGCAAUACGUGCUGACGAGCGGCGAACGGGUGCGUAAUACAUGGGAAUCUGCCCUUUAGUGGGGAAUAACCCGGCGAAAGCCGGGCUAAUGCCGCAUAAGAUCUUCGGAUGAAAGCGGGGGAUCGUAAGACCUCGCGCUGAUGGAUGAGCCCAUGUCGGAUUAGCAGUUGGUGAGGUAACGGCUCACCAAGGCGACGAUCCGUAGCUGGUCUGAGAGGACGGCCAGCCACACUGGGACUGAGACACGGCCCAGACUCCUACGGGAGGCAGCAGUGGGGAAUAUUGGACAAUGGGCGAAAGCCUGAUCCAGCGACGCCGCGUGUGUGAAGAAGGCCUGCGGGUUGUAAAGCACUUUCG